rnacentral:tRNA from 1 species
GGGAAGUUGGCUCAGUGGUAGAGCGCUUGCCUUGCAUGCAUGAGGCCGAUUCCUCA